rnacentral:rRNA from 1 species
UACGUAGGGGGCGAGCGCUGUCCGGAGUUACUAGGGCGUAAAGGGCAUGCAGGCGGUCGGACGCGUUUCGGGUGACAGCGGGUGGCUUAACUACCCGAGCGGUCGAAAGACGGUUUGACUUGGAGGACGCGAGAGGGACACGGAAUUCCGGGUGGAGUGGUGAAAUGCGGUAGAGAUCCGGAGGAACACCGAAGGCGAAGGCAGUGUCCUGGCGCGUAACUGACGCUGAGGUGGCGAAAGCCAGGGGAGCGAACGGG